GUGAGUAAAAUGAAGAAGAACCGACAGUAUAUAAGGCAAUCGAAGCGAGGCAUACGGAACGUCGUAAAAAGGAAAUAUAAAUAUGCAUUUUUGAAAAAUAACUGCCUUUUCAAAAAAUUAGAUAACUGUCAUUUUAAAUAACUUCUUUUUCGAAAAAAGAAGGAUUGCAAUAAUCAAGGAAACUGGAAAUAACACCAAUCAAUUUCGGAUAGAAGAUCG
rnacentral:lncRNA from 1 species